UGAGUUUGAUCAUGGCUCAGGAUGAACGCUAGCUACAGGCUUAACACAUGCAAGUCGAGGGGAAACGACAUCGAAAGCUUGCUUUUGAUGGGCGUCGACCGGCGCACGGGUGAGUAACGCGUAUCCAACCUGCCCAUCACUUGGGGGAUAACCUUGCGAAAGUAAGACUAAUACCCAAUGAUAUCUCUAGAAGGCAUCUGAAAGAGAUUAAAGAUUUAUCGGUGAUGGAUGGGGAUGCGUCUGAUUAGCUUGUUGGCGGGGUAACGGCCACCAAAGCAACGAUCAGUAGGGGUUCUGAGAGGAAGGUCCCCANAUUGGAACUGAGACACGGUCCAAACUCCUACGGGAAGCA
rnacentral:rRNA from 1 species